rnacentral:rRNA from 1 species
GACGAACGCUGGCGGCGUGCUUAACACAUGCAAGUCGAACGGAAAGGCCCUGCUUUUGUGGGGUGCUCGAGUGGCGAACGGGUGAGUAACACGUGAGUAACCUGCCCUUGACUUUGGGAUAACUUCAGGAAACUGGGGCUAAUACCGGAUAGGAGCUCCUGCUGCAUGGUGGGGGUUGGAAAGUUUCGGCGGUUGGGGAUGGACUCGCGGCUUAUCAGCUUGUUGGUGGGGUAGUGGCUUACCAAGGCUUUGACGGGUAGCCGGCCUGGGCGGGUGACCGGCCACAUCAGGACUGGGCUGCGGCCCAGCCUCGUACGGGAGGCAGCGGUGGAGAAUAUUGCACAGUGGGCGGAAGCCUGGUGCGACAACGCCGCGUGCGGGAUGACGGCCUUCGGGUUGUGAUCCGCUUUCGCCUGUGACGAGGCGUGAGUGACGGUAAUGGGUGAAGAAGCACCGGCUAACUACGUG